GUGCUCCUCUUACGUCUCGCUGCGCACUCGUACCACUUGUCUAGAUCAGUCGACUGGAUAGAAGAAGACAAUAUGCCGGCCGACAAUACAGAAGUCCAUGGAGCCGAUUUAGUCGUAAGAUGCAUGUUCAAGUUGUCAACUGGAGGUCUUUGGCUCGCAGGGACAGGGUACUUGAUGCAUCGAUAUAGAGAGGAUCCUGAAACAUUGGAACGAAUGCUGACUACGAUCAUCAUUCCUUCUGGUGGAUUUGUGCUUGAGAUAAUAUUCAGAUCUGUUGACGUGGUGAUCAUAAUUCUGAUAUAGAAUCAUGUUCAUUUGCAUAAACUUGAACUUGGAUUUGUUUGGGCAGAUUCACUUUUAUCUUGAAAAUUUUAGUGAAACACAAAGGAACUAACCUAGACGUUUGUUAAGCAAUAAACAAUAUUAGUGGCAAUACAAACAAUAAAAUGCCUGGAGUUUACAUAUCGUAUACGACACGCCCACUUAUAUCGUAUAUAUUACUUAAAAUGCUGUGUGGGCCAUAUAUUUUGCUUCCAAUUUGUACUUUGUUUAGUUUCUGGUUAUUUUAUUGAGUUUCGAAGCAGAUACUUUAAUAAAUAUUCUACACUUUGCGUAUUUUACGAGUUUACUAGGAAUUAAUGAUUUCGGGCAACUCGAGCGUGACGCGUGACGUCAUCCAGAAGUUUCCAAGAAUUUUGUGUCAACAACUGGUAUUCCAAGAAACAGUCUCAUUUGAAUUCGCAUUUUUGCUUGAACCAGUCGUAAAUUUAUAAAAUUCAAGGUCGCUCAAAAAUGUCAAACGAAGUCGUUCAUAAAGCAGUGUGUCCAGCAGAAAAAUAUGGCACAAGCAGUGAAUUUGGACAAAUUCUGGAUUUUAUUCAAGACACCGUGACUAACGAAGCAAUGAGAGAUGCGUUUGAUAUCCCGCAUCUUGUAGUCGUUGGACGACAAAAUAUGGCCAAAACGACGCUGAUAAAUAGACUUAUUGGAAGGUAAUAGUAAAGAUAAUCAUGUCAUCCUUAGUGAAGUCUUCAAAGUCUUCAACGCAAGAAAAUCGAGAAAAAUCGAAAAUUGGAAAAAGUAAAAGUGCGAGCGAAACACCUUAAGUGCUCAUGAACCCUUCAACAAUACUUUCAGUAUUCAUUCUACAUGAAAUAAAUAGUUGAAUGGUAAAA